rnacentral:rRNA from 1 species
AGCGAACGCUGGCGGCAGGCUUAACACAUGCAAGUCGAGCGGGCCCUUCGGGGUCAGCGGCCGACGGGUGAGUAACACGUGGGAACGUACCCUUUGGUUCGGAAUAACGCUGGGAAACUAGCGCUAAUACCGGAUACGCCCUUUUGGGGAAAGGCUUGCUGCCGAAGGAUCGGCCCGCGUCUGAUUAGCUAGUUGGUGGGGUAAUGGCCUACCAAGGCGACGAUCAGUAGCUGGUCUGAGAGGAUGAUCAGCCACACUGGGACUGAGACACGGCCCAGACUCCUACGGGAGGCAGCAGUGGGGAAUAUUGGACAAUGGGCGCAAGCCUGAUCCAGCCAUGCCGCGUGAGUGAUGAAGGCCUUAGGGUUGUAAAGCUCUUUUGUCCGGGACGAUAAUGGCGGUACCGGAAGAAUAAGCCCCGGCUAACUUCGUG